rnacentral:rRNA from 1 species
UACGGAGGGAGCUAGCGUUGUUCGGAUAUACUGGGCGUAAAGCGCACGUAGGCGGCGCAGCAAGUCAGGGGUGAAAUCCCGGAGCUCAACUCCGGAACUGCCUUCGAUACUGGAGAGCUCGAGUCCGGGAGAGGUGAGUGGAACUGCGAGUGUAGAGGUGAAAUUCGUAGAUAUUCGCAAGAACACCAGUGGCGAAGGCGGCUCACUGGCCCGGUACUGACGCUGAGGUGCGAAAGCGUGGGGAGCAAACAGG